rnacentral:rRNA from 2 species
UGACCUCAGAUCAGACAAGGAUACCUGCUGAACUUAAGCAUAUCAAUAAGCAGAGGAAAAGAAACCAACAGGGAUUGCCUCAGUAACGGCGAGUGAAGCGGCAACAGCUCAAAUUUGAAAUCUGGAGCCUUUGGCUUCCGAGUUGUAAUUUGAAGAGGAUGUUUCGGUGCGACCUGGGCCUAAGUUCCUUGGAACAGGACGUCAUGGAGGGUGAGAAUCCCGUACAUGGCUGCAGGUUUGCUUCUAUGUGAAACUCCUUCGAAGAGUCGAGUUGUUUGGGAAUGCAGCUCAAAAUGGGUGGUAAAUUUCAUCUAAAGCUAAAUAUUGGGGGGAGACCGAUAGCGCACAAGUAGAGUGAUCGAAAGAUGAAAAGCACUUUGAAAAGAGAGUUAAACAGUACGUGAAAUUGUUGAAAGGGAAGCGCUUGCAAUCAGACUCGCCUUCAGUUGAUCAGCCUUCCUUCUGGUUGGUGCACUCUGCUGUUGGCGGGCCAGCAUCAGUUGGGGCGGUGGGACAAAGGUAGCAGGAAUGUGGCUCGCUUCGGUGAGUGUUAUAGCCUGCUGCGUCAUGCCACCAGUCCCGACUGAGGUCCGCGGUUCGCCUAGGAUGCUGGCUUAAUGGUUGUAAGCGAC